AACGAACGCUGGCGGCAGGCUUAACACAUGCAAGUCGAACGCAUCCUUCGGGGUGAGUGGCAGACGGGUGAGUAACGCGUGGGAACGUGCCCUUCAGUUCGGGAUAACCCAGGGAAACUUGGGCUAAUACCGGAUACGUGCGAGAGCAGAAAGAUUUAUCGCUGAAGGAUCGGCCCGCGUCUGAUUAGCUAGUUGGUGGGGUAAUGGCCCACCAAGGCGACGAUCAGUAGCUGGUCUGAGAGGAUGAUCAGCCACACUGGGACUGAGACACGGCCCAGACUCCUACGUGAGGCAGCAGUGGGAAUAUUGGACAAUGGGCGCAAGCCUGAUCCAGCCAUGCCGCGUGAGUGAUGAAGGCCUUAGGGUUGUAAAGCUCUUUCAGUGGGGACGAUAAUGACGGUACCCGCAGAAGAAGCCCCGGCUAACUUCGUGCCAGCAGCCGCCGUAA
rnacentral:rRNA from 1 species